rnacentral:rRNA from 1 species
AACGAACGCUGGCGGCAUGCCUAACACAUGCAAGUCGAACGAGACCUUCGGGUCUAGUGGCGCACGGGUGCGUAACGCGUGGGAACCUUCCCUUAGGUUCGGAAUAACUCCCCGAAAGGGGUGCUAAUACCGGAUAAUGUCUUCGGACCAAAGAUUUAUCGCCUUUGGAUGUGCCCGCGUUGGAUUAGCUAGUUGGUAGGGUAAAAGCAUACCAAGGCGACGAUCCAUAGCUGGUCUGAGAGGAUGAUCAGCCACACUGGGACUGAGACACGGCCCAGACUACUACGGGAGGCAGCAGUGGGGAAUAUUGGACAAUGGGCGAAAGGCUGAUCAAGCAAUGCCGCGUGAGUGAUGAAGGCCUUAGGGUUGUAAAGCUCUUUUAACCGGGAUGAUAAUGACAGUACCGGGAGAAUAAGCUCCGGCUAACUCCGUG